rnacentral:ncRNA from 2 species
ACAUAUUUCUAGGGGAGCUAAAUCUUUCUAUUUGGCUGAGAAUGUUUGCAAGUGGCAAGCUAGACCCUUGACCUGAACCAGAUAAUGCUGGCGUAGGAAAGACAAUAAACUUAAUU